rnacentral:rRNA from 1 species
UACGUAGGGGGCAAGCGUUGUCCGGAUUUAUUGGGCGUAAAGAGCGUGUAGGCGGCCAAGCAGGUCCGCUGUGAAAACUCGAGGCUCAACCUCGAGACGUCGGUGGAAACCGUUUGGCUAGAGUCCGGAAGAGGAGAGUGGAAUUCCCGGUGUAGCGGUGAAAUGCGUAGAUAUCGGGAAGAACACCCGUGGCGAAGGCGGCUCUCUGGGACGGUACUGACGCUGAGACGCGAAAGCGUGGGGAGCGAACAGG